rnacentral:rRNA from 1 species
UACAGAGGGUGCAAACGUUGUUCGGAAUUACUGGGCGUAAAGCGCGUGUAGGCUGCUCUGCAAGUCGGGUGUGAAAGCCCCGGGCUCAACCUGGGAAGUGCACUCGAAACUGCAGAGCUCGAGUUCUGGAGAGGAAGGCGGAAUUCUCGGUGUAGAGGUGAAAUUCGUAGAUAUCGAGAGGAACACCGGUGGCGAAGGCGGCCUUCUGGACAGUGACUGACGCUGAGACGCGAAAGCGUGGGGAGCAAACAGG